CCCGCUGAACUUAAGCAUAUCAAUAAGCCGAGGAAAAGAAACUAACAAGGAUACCCUUAGUAACGGCGAGUGAAGCGGGUAAAGCUCAAUCUUAAAAUCUAUGUAUCAAAUGGUACAUCGAAUUGUAGUUUUUGGAUAAUGGUUCUAACUUUAUAAGUUUUUAUUAAAAUUAUUUGGAAUAAUAUGUCAUAGAAGGUGAGAACCCUGUGAAUAGUAAAAACUUGUAGAGGAAUUACGUUCGAUUAUCUUAGAGUCGGGUUGUUUGAGAAUGCAGCCUAAAUUGGGUGGUAAAUCUCAUCUAAAGCUAAAUAUUGGUAAGAGACCGAUAGCAAACAAGUACCGUGAGGGAAAGAUGAAAAGAACUUUGAAAAGAGAGUUAAAAGUACUUGAAAUUGUUAACAGGGAACCGCUUAAAUUCUAAUCUAUUCAUUAGUAGAAAUCAACUUUAACAAGGAGGUAAAGUUUAUUGAGAAGUAAUCACGGUUGCUCUCAGUGGAUGUAUACUUUAAGAUAAGGUGCACUUUGUAUUAAUGAUAAUCAACAUCAGUUUUGAUAAUAUUAGAAAAAUUGCUGAAAGGUAGCAUUUAUGUUUUCGGAUAUAAAUGUGUUAUAGACAGUAAUUGAAUGAUAUUAGAAAGACUGAGGAAUAAACAUACUCCUCUAUGGAUUGUGAUUUGAGGUUAUUAGGUGUUAUAUAUGUUUGAACUGUAACAGUGCUUGUGUAUAUAGUAUUUAAAGAGCUUCAUAGCAAAAGUAUGUUAGGGAUGUUGAUCUAUUUAUGGAAGAAGGAUUUAAUCGACCCGUCUUGAAACACGG
rnacentral:rRNA from 1 species